GAUGAACGCUGGCGGCGUGCUUAACACAUGCAAGUCGAACGGAAAGGCUCCUGCUUGCAGGGGUACUCGAGUGGCGAACGGGUGAGUAACACGUGGGUGAUCUGCCCUGCACUUCGGGAUAAGCCUGGGAAACUGGGUCUAAUACCGGAUAGGACGAUGGUUUGGAUGCCAUUGUGGAAAGUUUUUUCGGUGUGGGAUGAGCUCGCGGCCUAUCAGCUUGUUGGUGGGGUAAUGGCCUACCAAGGCGUCGACGGGUAGCCGUCCUGAGAGGGUGUACGGCCACAUUGGGACUGAGAUACGGCCCAGACUCCUACGGGAGGCAGCAGUGGGGAAUAUUGCACAAUGGGCGCAAGCCUGAUGCAGCGACGCCGCGUGGGGGAUGACGGCCUUCGGGUUGUAAACUCCUUUCGCUAGGGACGAAGCGCAAGUGACGGUACCUGGAGAAGAAGCACCGGCUAACUACGUG
rnacentral:rRNA from 1 species